UUUGAUAACAGACUCAUCUACUCCCAGGAAAUCACAGAAUGAGAGAGAGCCACAAUCUUGUGGGAUUUUCUUCAGAAGCUCCAUCACAUCUCUGCUCUCUGCUUUGGAAGCUGAAAUUUCUCCUUUCACAGAAAUUCUUCAGCAGGAGUCCUGCCUGCAGACUCCUCGCUCAGGAAGCUCCAGGAGCCAUCUGGGACUAGUCUGCAAGGCUCAGCUGAUGUGUUACUGUGUAUCCAGAUGUACUUCAGGACCAAAAAGUGACCCCUGUGUUUGCCCAAAAUCACACCCAUGGACAACAGCAAAGCACCAGCCAAAGUGGGUCAACCCAUCUUAUUUGGGGCUGAAGGUUUCCAUCUCCAGCAGUGUCUUCUGAGCAAUUGAAAACUCCAACCAAGGAAUUCCGAGGGGAGAAGACUACUGAAAGAUGCCUGUGGGUCAUCCUGCAAAUCCUCUGACCUCGGGAAGGGAGCAGGCUGAAAUGACCCUGAUGGUGACGCAGAGCUGUGGGUGCCACGCAUUGCUCAGACUCUGCAGGACCAGACCUACAGCUGCUGCACUAAAUUUCAAUGUCUUCUCUUCAGAUGAUGAUGUCUGUGGACUUUCCUAUUUUUCUUGCCAAUCUAAUGUCAUAUUUCCUUCAAAUAAAACUCGGUGUGUGAGAACUCACUUCUGUUUCUCUCUUAGGAAAGGAAGGCUGCCCUGUCUGUGCAUCACCUAACAGGAAAGACCUCAGGACAAAGAGCUCAGACCCUCCAGAAAUCUUUCAGAGAGAAGCUCCAGCUCUCCCUUAUCUCUUUUAAAGUUAACACAUCACACUUUGUACAUGCUCAGCAACAAAGUUCCUAAUGUUGUUUCCCGAUAACCCAGAGGCCCGGGACAGCAAUGCUGUUGCUGUUUCAUAGAGGGCGAGAGCGGGACACUUGCUCCCCUGGCUGCCGACAAUCAGCACUUUGUGAACAUCCCACACUAGAGGUUUGCACAGAG
rnacentral:lncRNA from 1 species